UUGUGUGAGCCACAUAGGACGCUGAUUUUUCUCUCAUGGUCACUUUUAUAGUGUUACUUUUUGAAGGGUGUAAACAGCACCCUAGGUGUUCUCCCACUAUUUUAUUCCAAACCUUCGAGGCCAAAAAUACAAGUCCAAUAUUUUUCUGGCUUUUCUAAAUCCACCUGUGGGCCCGAGAUAAGGCCUGGAUGUGUGGAUGCUGGGAUGUAACAUGUUUAUGAACUGAAGCCACAUCCGAGGGUAGAGCUGGAAAGUCUCUUGUCAUCGUUAGGGAAACUUAUUUCUCCUCUGUCAGACAGUGCCGUGAAAAAAAAUGUGAGAUGUAGAUACAGAAAGGAAUGUGACCUGAGUGUUUAAACUCUUCCUUCUCAUCAGUCUCGCCUCAGACUCACAGGCGGCACUGAGAAAGGAAGAAACCCUUCUUCUGAAUUUAUUCCCUCUUAAUAUUUUUCAUGUCAUACAGAUAGAGCGGUGAAGCUGUGAAUAAUUGCAGACACUGUAAGCGCAGUCGACUGCUCCCAUCAUGGAUUAUACCGCCUAUCUCGGCCGCUGCCUGCUGUUUUUCUUCGUCGCUGUCUUCCUGGAUGCGGCAGGCCUCAUCCUCUUCUUAGUCGGGGUCUUUGCUCCCAUCAGCUUCUGGGAUUUCUUUGUCUUCUCAGGACCCCUCAUUAUCUUCCUCAGCCUGGUGUUCUGGAUCUUCUGGUACCUGGGAAACCUGGAGAUACCGAUGGACGAGUUACUCCCCAAAUGAGAUUCGCGGCUCCUUCAUUUGCAGCACAAAGCAGUUUCAAGGCGACCCGUGCUGGAAAAUGAAACCAGAGUUACAGCUACAGGUCGAUUUCUCAACUUAUGCUCGAUCUCGCUGGUGGAUGUUUGUGUAUUUGCCUCACAACCCCAAGAAACAUUGGACUUUACACUGAAAAGACAAAUAUGGAACUUUAAUCUGAAAGGAUAUCUGUUUGAUGAACAUCUGAGACUUUUGAAUGGGAAGUGGGGGCGGUAGACUCGGCCACAGUUUGAAAAAAGGGGGCCCCAUUUGUAAAAGUAGUAAAAAUGUGUCCAGUUUCACAUUCAGUACCUUGGCUCUUGGCAAUAACAAGCUGUGCAUUUAUAACAGUUACAUUGUUUAUUCAUUAUUCAUAAAUGAAAGCCGAAUAAACAACUUAAAAUAUUCUUAUGUGAAAUAAUAUCAAUGAAAAGCUGCUAUUUGUAAGCUGAAAUAGCCUGCAGCCACAGUCUCUUGCUUGAAAUCAAACAGUGUGAUUCAUUUUUAGUGACAAAUAUAGCCGACACCGCAUCAAACUGCUGAAGAGAUGGAACUUGUAAAUAAAUUGACUUGCUGUUCCUCAGCUUUAGAGUAUACAUCUAAAUUGUACUGUUACAGCACACAAGCAGUGCUCAGAUGAAACCGCCAGACAUCCCUGUGGCCCCUCCUCCGCUCAGACUGCCUGGUCAUGGUGACUCGAUUCUGUAAAUUCUCUGUCGAAUAAGAUUUUACAUUCACAUUUUGUUUAUUUCAUCACAUCAUUUGCUUCUUUGUCUUUUUAACUGAUAAAAUCAGGACCAGACUCUGUCUUCCACUUGUACAUUUCCACUCCAUUUACAUCUUAAUGACACUGUUUAUCAUGUA